rfam:Gossypium hirsutum cultivar TM-1 chromosome 22, whole genome shotgun sequence
AAUCCAUGCAUAGGACAUUUCCUAAGCAAAUCCUUGAAUCUUUCCAAUACUUCAUACAAUGUUUCAUCCCCUAGUUGCUUGAACGAUGUUAUGUCAUUUCUCAGUUU